UACGUAGGUGGCAAGCGUUGUCCGGAAUUAUUGGGCGUAAAGCGCGCGCAGGCGGUCCUUUAAGUCUGAUGUGAAAGCCCUCGGCUCAACCGAGGAGGGUCAUUGGAAACUGGAGGACUUGAGUGCAGAAGAGGAAAGUGGAAUUCCAAGUGUAGCGGUGAAAUGCGUAGAGAUUUGGAGGAACACCAGUGGCGAAGGCGACUUUCUGGUCUGUAACUGACGCUGAGGCGCGAAAGCGUGGGGAGCAAACAGG
rnacentral:rRNA from 2 species